AGCGAACGCUGGCGGCAGGCUUAACACAUGCAAGUCGAGCGCCCCGCAAGGGGAGCGGCAGACGGGUGAGUAACACGUGGGAACGUGCCUUUUGGUUCGGAACAACCCAGGGAAACUUGGGCUAAUACCGGAUAAGCCCUUACGGGGAAAGAUUUAUCGCCAAAAGAUCGGCCCCCGUCUGAUUAGCUAGUUGGUGGGGUAAUGGCCCACCAAGGCUACGAUCAGUAGCUGGUCUCAGAGGAUGAUCAGCCACAUUGGGACUGCGACACGGCCCAAACUCCUACGGGAGGCAGCAGUGGGGAAUAUUGGACAAUGGGGGCAACCCUGAUCCAGCCAUGCCGCGUGAGUGAUGAAGGCCUUAGGGUUGUAAAGCUCUUUUAGCAGGGAAGAUAAUGACGGUACCUGCAGAAAAAGCCCCGGCUAACUUCGUGCCAGCCGCCGCGGUAA
rnacentral:rRNA from 1 species